rnacentral:rRNA from 1 species
UCCAGACUCCUACGGGAGGCAGCAGUGGGGGAUAUUGCACAAUGGGGGAAACCCUGAUGCAGCGACGCCGCGUGAGUGAAGAAGUAUUUCGGUAUGUAAAGCUCUAUCAGCAGGGAAGAAAAAAGACGGUACCUGACUAAGAAGCCCCGGCUAACUACGUGCCAGCAGCCGCGGUAAUACGUAGGGGGCAAGCGUUAUCCGGAUUUACUGGGUGUAAAGGGAGCGUAGACGGCAAUACAAGUCGGAAGUGAAAUACCCGGGCUCAACCUGGGAACUGCUUUGGAAACUGUAUGGCUGGAGUGCUGGAGAGGUAAGCGGAAUUCCUAGUGUAGCGGUGAAAUGCGUAGAUAUUAGGAGGAACACCAGUGGCGAAGGCGGCUUACUGGACAGUAACUGACGUUGAGGCUCGAAAGCGUGGGGAGCAAACAGGAUUAGAUACCCCCGUAA